rnacentral:rRNA from 1 species
GAUGAACGCUAGCGGCAGGCCUAACACAUGCAAGUCGAGGGAGAAGCCCUUUCGGGAGCAGAAACCGGCGCACGGGUGCGUAACGCGUAUGCAACCUACCUUUCACAGGGGGAUAGCCCGAAGAAAUUUGGAUUAAUACCCCAUAAUAUUAUUGGAUGGCAUCAUUUGAUAAUUAAAACUGCGGUGGUGAAAGAUGGGCAUGCGUCCUAUUAGCUAGUUGGAGUGGUAACGGCACCCCAAGGCUACGAUAGGUAGGGGUCCUGAGAGGGAGAUCCCCCACACUGGUACUGAGACAGGGACCAGACUCCUACGGGAGGCAGCAGUGAGGAAUAUUGGUCAAUGGUCGGAAGACUGAACCAGCCAUGCCGCGUGCAGGAAGAAUGCCUUAUGGGUUGUAAACUGCUUUUAUAUGGGAAGAAUAAGGCGUACGUGUACGUUGAUGACGGUACCAGAUGAAUAAGCAUCGGCUAACUCCGUG